UUAUUUAGAGCUUGUACUACAUAGCAUCUUACUGUUACUAAGAAGAAAAGGAGGAACCCCUUUAAAUAAA
rnacentral:tRNA from 1 species